UUUCCCUCUGCACAGGUUUUGAUAAAUCUCCCCUUCUGUCUUUAUUUUUCUGUCUACUUGGGGCUGGAUGAGGGCUUAUUUUUUGGACAUCCUUUUUUUGUAUUGAUGGGACUUUAUGAUCAAUUUUUCUGACAUAUGACAUAAGCAUUAAAUAGUGAAAUCAGUACCAGAGGCAGAGUGUAUUAGAGGAGAGACGAUCUGGUGGCAAAGUGGCAUAAGAAUUGCCAAGAGACCAAUGUGUUUUUGGAUGCUGUAAUUUAACUGUGCAGAAGCAUAAAUGUACAUCCUGAGGCCUAAUGCAAAAUCUGUAACAGGGCUCCUAUAUUCUUUCUAUGGGAACGACUGUCCUUUAUAUGUAAGAGAGGAACUGUUUUGCCCCCUCAGAAAUAAAUCCAAAAUAAAUCUGCAGCCUCAAACGUCCUAAAGUUAUGCACAUCUACCUGUGUCUAGCAGUGCUUUAUAAGACCACAGCAAGUAUUUUUUGGAAUUCCACCAUCUAAAGCUUUGUUUUUUUUUAAGUGUUAAAACUAAAAACAAUCUUUUUUACAUGUCAUAAAGGUGUGUCAGUAGUCUGGAUCGGUGGGACACUGAAUGCUGAGCCUAUACCACUUUCUCCAUACCCAGCACGCUAUCCGAGGAAAGCAAAGCAAAAAAAAAAGAGGCACAGCACUUAGCUGUUUCUGCCCCUUCUUUCUAGGAAUUGAUGGGGUUCUCUGCACUCCCUCACUGAUCCAAACUUCUGACAGAAGUUUAUUUAAAGUUUAGUAGACAAGUGUUUCAGUC